GAUGAACGCUGGCGGCGUGCCUAAUACAUGCAAGUCGAGCGGACGGACGAGAAGCUUGCUUCUCUGAUGUUAGCGGCGGACGGGUGAGUAACACGUGGAUAACCUACCUAUAAGACUGGGAUAACUUCGGGAAACCGGAGCUAAUACCGGAUAAUAUUUUGAACCGCAUGGUUCAAAAGUGAAAGACGGUCUUGCUGUCACUUAUAGAUGGAUCCGCGCUGCAUUAGCUAGUUGGUAAGGUAACGGCUUACCAAGGCAACGAUGCAUAGCCGACCUGAGAGAGUGAUCGGCCACACUGGAGCUGAGACACGGUCCAGACUCCUACGGGAGGCAGCAGUAGGGAAUCUGCCGCAAUGGGCGAAAGCCUGACGGAGCAACGCCGCGUGAGUGAUGAAGGUCUUCGGAGCGUAAAACUCUGUUAUUAGGGAAGAACAUAUGUGUAAGGAACUGUGCACAUCGUGACGGUACCUAAUCAGAAAGCCACGGCUAACUACGUG
rnacentral:rRNA from 1 species